GAUGAACGCUGGCGGCGUGCCUAAUACAUGCAAGUCGAGCGAACAGACGAGGAGCUUGCUCCUCUGACGUUAGCGGCGGACGGGUGAGUAACACGUGGAUAACCUACCUAUAAGACUUGGAUAACUUCGGGAAACCGGAGCUAAUACCGGAUAAUAUAUUGAACCGCAUGGUUCAAUAGUGAAAGACGGUUUUGCUGUCACUUAUAGAUGGAUCCGCGCCGCAUUAGCUAGUUGGUAAGGUAACGGCUUACCAAGGCAACGAUGCGUAGCCGACCUGAGAGGGUGAUCGGCCACACUGGAACUGAGACACGGUCCAGACUCCUACGGGAGGCAGCAGUAGGGAAUAUUCGGCAAUGGGCGAAAGCCUGACGGAGCAACGCCGCGUGAGUGAAGAAGGUCUUCGGAUCGUAAAACUCUGUUAUUAGGAAAGAAAAAAAGUGGAAGUAACUAUGCACGUUUUGACGGUACCUAAUCAGAAAGCAACGGCUAACUACGUG
rnacentral:rRNA from 1 species